rnacentral:rRNA from 1 species
AUUGAACGCUGGCGGAACGCCUAACACAUGCAAGUCGAGCGGAGUAGCAAUACUCAGCGGCGGACGGGUGAGGAAUACAUAGGAACUUGCCUUUAGGUGGGGGAUAGCUUGGGGAAACUCAAGGUAAUACCGCAUGAUCUCGCAAGAGCAAAGGGGCGCAAGUCUCGCCUUUAGAGAGGCCUAUAUCUGAUUAGCUAGUUGGCGGUGUAAUAGACCACCAAGGCGACGAUCAGUAACUGGUCUGAGAGGACGAUCAGUCAAACCGGAACUGAGACACGGUACGGAAUCGUGCGGGAGGCAGCAGUGGGGAAUAUUGGACAAUGUGCGAAAGCCUGAGCCAGCAAUGCCGCGUGUGUGAAGAAGGCCUUCGGGUUGUAAAUCACUUUAGUGAGGGAAGAAACAGCUUGGCCACACCAAGCCUUGACGGUACCUCAAGAAUAAGCACCGGCUAACUCUGUGCCAGCAGCCGCAGUAA